rnacentral:rRNA from 1 species
AUUGAACGCUGGCGGCAUGCCUUACACAUGCAAGUCGAACGGUAACAGGUCUUCGGAUGCUGACGAGUGGCGAACGGGUGAGUAAUACAUCGGAACGUGCCUAGUAGUGGGGGAUAACUACUCGAAAGAGUGGCUAAUACCGCAUGAGAUCUACGGAUGAAAGCAGGGGAUCGCAAGACCUUGUGCUACUAGAGCGGCCGAUGGCAGAUUAGGUAGUUGGUGGGAUAAAAGCUUACCAAGCCGACGAUCUGUAGCUGGUCUGAGAGGACGAUCAGCCACACUGGGACUGAGACACGGCCCAGACUCCUACGGGAGGCAGGAGUGGGGAAUUUUGGACAAUGGGCGAAAGCCUGAUCCAGCAAUGCCGCGUGCAGGAUGAAGGCCUUCGGGUUGUGAACUGCUUUUGUACGGAACGAAAAGCCCCGGGUUAAUACCCUGGGGUCAUGACGGUACCGUAAGAAUAAGCACCGGCUAACUACGUGCCAGCCGCCGCGGUAA